CAAGUAUUGUUCAUAUAUUCCAUUAUUUUUUGGUUUGCUGUUAUGAUUUUUGCAUAUUUAGGUUGUUGUCAUUCAUUUCAUGGUUGUGAUGAUGAAAAAUUAUCAUCAUCAUCAUCAAUAUUUUAUGGACAAAAAACAAGAAAAACAUGUCACCAUGGAAUGUUUAGCGAAAAAAUGUCUGUAUGAUUCAAUUUAAUAAUCACAUUUAUUACAAGAGCUAACUCGAGUACGUAAAUCACUUGUGAAUGAUGAUGAUAAUCCAAAAAUGCAAAAAAAAAAACACGAAAAAAUUAUAUAGAAAUAGAAAACCAGAACUUCUUGAAUCUGACCUAAAUCAAAUGAAGAAGUAAAAAAAAAAAUUUCAUGUUUGAUGGUAAUAACAGGUGAAUUAUAAUAUAAGAAAUGAAAAGAAAAAUCAGUUUGCUAUUUAUAUAAGAUGCUGAUGAUGAAGAAUCUUGUCAUCAAACUACAACAACAACAGCAACAAGUUAUGUUUAUGAAUAACAAAACGUGAAUUUCAUUCUCGUUCGUGUCACUUUUUGAUCAACCUCUUUUUUUUUCUUGGAUUAAAGUGGAAAAAAUGUCCAUUUGUCAUUGUUUAUUUUUGUCUACUUAUUACACGUCAAUUGUAAAGAAUUUAACCACACACAUGAUCCAACGAACCUUGACAAAUUGUCUUUAUUCAUUUCAUUUAUGAUAAUUAUCAUAAUUUAUAGACUUGGUUGAGAUUUAUGAUGAAUGAAUCAAGAAAAAGAAGACAGCAACAAUCAUAAAAAUAUUGAUGUCGACGAUGAUGAAGAAAAAACUAGUUACCUGUUAUUCUGUUUUUACUGACAUUCAUAUUGGUGGCUGA